UCUGGUUGAUCCUGCCUGAACUGAUGUGUUCAUUUCAAAGAUUAAGCCAUGCAUGUAUAAGUUUAAUCGUUUUAACGAGAAACCGCGAACGGCUCAUUACAAUGGCCAUGAUUUACUUGAUCUUGAUUAUCUAAAUGGAUAACUGUGGAAAAGCUAGAGCUAAUACAUGCACCAAAGCUUUGUCCUCUCGGAAAAGCGCAUUUAUUAGAACAAAACCACGCGGCUUCGGCUGCUUCUUGUUGACUCAGAAUAACUAAGCUGACCGCAUGGCCUUGUGCCGGCGGCGUGUCUUUCAAGCGUCCACUUUAUCAACUUGACGGGAGCAUAAUCGACUCCCGUGGUGGUGACGGAUAACGGAGGAUCAGGGUUCGACUCCGGAGAAGGGGCCUGAGAAAUGGCCACUACGUCUAAGGAUGGCAGCAGGCGCGCAAAUUACCCACUCUCGGCUCGAGGAGGUAGUGACGAGAAAUAACGAGACCGUUCUCUUUGAGGCCGGUCAUCGGAAUGGGUACAAUUUAAACCCUUUAACGAGUAUCAAGCAGAGGGCAAGUCUGGUGCCAGCAGCCGCGGUAAUUCCAGCUCUGCUAAUACAUAGAAUUAUUGCUGCGGUUAAAAAGCUCGUAGUUGGAUUCGUAUCGGUACCCUGGAACCCUCCGGGUGUUUCUGGGUGUUAUCGAUUUAUCGUAAUGUUCGGUUUUGAGUCCUUAACAGGAUUCUUAACAGGCAUUGCAAGUUUACUUUGAACAAAUCAGAGUGCUUCAAACAGGCGUUUUCGCUUGAAUGAUCGUGCAUGGAAUAAUAGAAAACGAUUUCGGUUCAGUUUUAUUGGUUUUACGGACUGAGAUAAUGGUUAACAGAGACAAACGGGGGCAUUUGUAUGGCCCCGUGAGAGGUGAAAUUCUUGGACCGUGGCCAGACAAACUACAGCGAAAGCAUUUGCCAAGAAUGUCUUCAUUAAUCAAGAACGAAAGUCAGAGGUUCGAAGGCGAUCAGAUACCGCCCUAGUUCUGACCGUAAACGAUGCCAACUAGCGAUCCGCCGAUGGAAAUUAUAUUGCCUUGGUGGGGAGCUUCCCGGAAACGAAAGUCUUCCGGUUCCGGGGGAAGUAUGGUUGCAAAGCUGAAACUUAAAGGAAUUGACGGAAGGGCACCACCAGGAGUGGAGCCUGCGGCUUAAUUUGACUCAACACGGGAAACUCACCCGGCCCGGACACUGUGAGGAUUGACAGAUUGAUAGCUUUUUCAUGAUUCAGUGGAUGGUGGUGCAUGGCCGUUCUUAGUUCGUGGAGUGAUUUGUCUGGUUUAUUCCGAUAACGAGCGAGACUCUAACCUACUAAAUAGCUGGUACAUAAUUUACGUGUAUACAGCUUCUUAGAGGGAUUUGCGGUGUUCAGCCGAAAGAAAUUGAGCAAUAACAGGUCUGUGAUGCCCUUAGAUGUCCGGGGCUGCACGCGCGCUACACUGGCAAAAUCAACGUGCUUGUCCUACCCCGAAAGGGGCGGGUAAACCAUUGAAAAUUUGCCGUGAUUGGGAUCGGAAAUUGCAAUUAUUUUCCGUGAACGAGGAAUUCCAAGUAAGUGCGAGUCAUCAGCUCGCGUUGAUUACGUCCCUGCCCUUUGUACACACCGCCCGUCGCUGCCCGGGACUGAGCCAUUUCGAGAAAUUUGGGGACCGUUGAUUUAAUUUUUCUAAAUUACUUUGAUGGAAACCAAUUUAAUCGCAGUGGCUUGAACCGGGCAAAAGUCGUAACAAGGUAGCUGUAGGUGAACCUGCUGCUG
rnacentral:rRNA from 1 species